rnacentral:lncRNA from 1 species
UUUAUAUCAUUUACUAGUUAUUGACGGUGGAUUUAAGCACAGCGUUUGUGCAACUGUUAAGGAACAAGUUGCCAAGACUCUUUACUUAUUAGGACAUAAUGAGAGAAAUUGAGUCCUAUCUUGGCAUUUUCGACGAUUCGAAAAGACAAGUCAUCAUUUUCAUAUUGUGCUUCGAUGUAUAGUACAAAUGGCAGAUAAAUUUCUUAUUCAGCCAGAUGGAUCACAAGUGCCU